GAAUUCGCCCUUAGAGUUUGAUCCUGGCUCAGGAUGAACGCUGGCGGCGUGCCUAACACAUUCAAGUCGAACGGAGAUAUUUUAGUUAAUCCUUCGGGAAGCGUGAAGACAGCUUAAUGGCCGACGGGUGAGUAACGCCUGAGGAACCUGCCCCUGGGAGAGGGAUAACGACCGGAAACAAUCCCAAAUACCUCAUAACACGUAUUUAACGCAUGUUAAAUACGUCAAAGAUUUAUCGCACAGGGAUGGCCUCUCGUCUGAUUAGAUAGUUGGUACGGUACCGGCCUACCAAGUCUACGAUCCGUAGCCGGACUGAGAGGUUGAACGGCCACAUUGGAACUGAAAUACUCUCCAGACUCCUACGGGAGGCAGCAGCGGGGAAUAUUGGGCAAUGGGCGCAAGCCUGACCCAGCGACGCCGCGUAAGCGAAGACGGUGUUCGCAUUGUAAACCUUAAACAUCAGGGACGAACAAAUGCCGGUACAUGAAAGGAAGCCACGGCUAACUACGUCCCAGCAGCUGCGGUAAUACGUAGGUGGCGAGUCUUAUCCGGAUUUACUGGGUGUAAUGGGUGUGUAGGCGGGUUUUCAAGUCAGGUAUGAAAUCCCUGAGCUCAACUCCGGAGCUGCACUUGAACCUGCAAAUCUUCAGUGUCGGAGGGGUAGAUUGAAUUCCCGGUGUAGCGGUGAAAUGAGUUGAUAUCGGGAGGAACACGCGGUGGCGAAGUCUGUCUACUGGACGACAACUGACGGUGAUACACCAAAGCGUGGGGACCAAACAGGAUUCGAUACCCUGGUAGUCCACACCGUAA
rnacentral:rRNA from 1 species